UAAGAGUUUAAAGCUUAGGGACAGGGGAUUUGAGCACGUGAACCUACCCCAUCAGAAACUGAGGAGAAUUCAGACCACUCCCAGCCCGCAUCUACACAUCCUUCACUGUAGAGACUUUUCCACAACAAGAUGCUGAUUUUUUUUAAGUGAUGAUACCAUAUGUCAUUUUUAAGGGUUGAGGGGACACGCAGGAAAGCAUUUGCAGGAGGUACACUCUUUCCAGUUCAUCCAAGGUUGAUCUUGCGUCUCCAUCAGGUGCUACACAGAGUAAUAGAAGAGCUAAACUCUACUGCUUCCUGAACACAUUCCUGCCACAGGACCUUUGCAAUGACUGCUGCCGACCUGAAACGGUCUUUGUUCUGAUAUGUGCCUGGCUCUCUUC